GCGCUCACUUCAGUAGCACAUAUACUAAAACUGAAUGAUACAGAGAAGAUUAGCAUGGCCUCUUCACAAAGAUGACAUACAAAUUUGUGAAGAAUUCCAUAUUUUU
rnacentral:snRNA from 1 species